rnacentral:rRNA from 1 species
CUACAGGCUUAACACAUGCAAGUCGAGGGGCAGCAUGGUCUUAGCUUGCUAAGGCCGAUGGCGACCGGCGCACGGGUGAGUAACACGUAUCCAACCUGCCGUCUACUCUUGGACAGCCUUCUGAAAGGAAGAUUAAUACAAGAUGGCAUCAUGAGUCCGCAUGUUCACAUGAUUAAAGGUAUUCCGGUAGACGAUGGGGAUGCGUUCCAUUAGAUAGUAGGCGGGGUAACGGCCCACCUAGUCUUCGAUGGAUAGGGGUUCUGAGAGGAAGGUCCCCCACAUUGGAACUGAGACACGGUCCAAACUCCUACGGGAGGCAGCAGUGAGGAAUAUUGGUCAAUGGGCGCAGGCCUGAACCAGCCAAGUAGCGUGAAGGAUGACUGCCCUAUGGGUUGUAAACUUCUUUUAUAAAGGAAUAAAGUCGGGUAUGGAUACCCGUUUGCAUGUACUUUAUGAAUAAGGAUCGGCUAACUCCGUGCCAGCAGCCGCGGUAAUACGGAGGAUCCGAGCGUUAUCCGGAUUUAUUGGGUUUAAAGGGAGCGUAGAUGGAUGUUUAAGUCAGUUGUGAAAGUUUGCAGCUCAACCGUAAAAUUGCAGUUGAUACUGGAUAUCUUGAGUGCAGUUAAGGCAGGCGGAAUUCGUGGUGUAGCGGUGAAAUGCUUAGAUAUCACGAAGAACUCCGAUUGCGAAGGCAGCCUGCUAAGCUGCAACUGACAUUGAGGCUCGAAAGUGUGGGUAUCAAACAGGAUUAGAUACCCUGGUAGUCCACACGGUAAACGAUGAAUACUCGCUGUUUGCGAUAUACAGCAAGCGGCCAAGCGAAAGCGUUAAGUAUUCCACCUGGGGAGUACGCCGGCAACGGUGAAACUCAAAGGAAUUGACGGGGGCCCGCACAAGCGGAGGAACAUGUGGUUUAAUUCGAUGAUACGCGAGGAACCUUACCCGGGCUUAAAUUGCAGAUGAAUUACGGUGAAAGCCGUAAGCCGCAAGGCAUCUGUGAAGGUGCUGCAUGGUUGUCGUCAGCUCGUGCCGUGAGGUGUCGGCUUAAGUGCCAUAACGAGCGCAACCCUUGUUGUCAGUUACUAACAGGUUCCGCUGAGGACUCUGACAAGACUGCCAUCGUAAGAUGUGAGGAAGGUGGGGAUGACGUCAAAUCAGCACGGCCCUUACGUCCGGGGCUACACACGUGUUACAAUGGGGGGUACAGAGGGCCGCUACCACGCGAGUGGAUGCCAAUCCCCAAAACCUCUCUCAGUUCGGACUGGAGUCUGCAACCCGACUCCACGAAGCUGGAUUCGCUAGUAAUCGCGCAUCAGCCACGGCGCGGUGAAUACGUUCCCGGGCCUUGUACACACCGCCCGUCAAGCCAUGGGAGCCGGGGGUACCUGAAGUGCGUAACCGCGAGGAGCGCCCUAGGGUAAAACUGGUGACUGGGGCUAAGUCAUAAC